UACGUAGGUGACCAGCGUUGUCCGGAUUUACUGGGCGUAAAGAGCGCGCAGGCGGUCGUUCAAGUCGAGUGUGAAAGCCCCCGGCUCAACUGGGGAGGGUCACUCGAUACUGAUCGACUUGAAGGCAGGAGAGGGAAGCGGAAUUCCCGGUGUAGUGGUGAAAUGCGUAGAUAUCGGGAGGAACACCAGUGGCGAAGGCGGCUUCCUGGCCCACGACUGACACUCAGACACGACAGCAUGGGGAGCGAGCGGG
rnacentral:rRNA from 1 species